rnacentral:rRNA from 1 species
CCUACGGGGCGCUGUAGUGGGGAAUAUUGGACAAUGGGCGAAAGCCUGAUCCAGCCAUGCCGCGUGUGUGAAGAAGGCCUUCGGGUUGUAAAGCACUUUCAGUGGGGAAGAAAGCCUUGGGGCUAAUACCCUCGAGGAAGGACAUCACCCACAGAAGAAGCACCGGCUAACUCCGUGCCAGCAGCCGCGGUAAUACGGAGGGUGCGAGCGUUAAUCGGAAUUACUGGGCGUAAAGCGCGCGUAGGCGGUCUGAUAAGCCGGUUGUGAAAGCCCCGGGCUCAACCUGGGAACGGCAUCCGGAACUGUCAGGCUAGAGUGCAGGAGAGGAAGGUAGAAUUCCCGGUGUAGCGGUGAAAUGCGUAGAGAUCGGGAGGAAUACCAGUGGCGAAGGCGGCCUUCUGGACUGACACUGACGCUGAGGUGCGAAAGCGUGGGUAGCAAACAGGAUUAGAUACCCCAGUAGUC